NNCUGUCCCCUUCCUCCCUCACCCCGCCAUGUGUGUCCCUCCAAAAGCUGCAUGCUCGGUCGAAGAGGACAACCAUCCCCAAUAGAGGAGGACCGGUCUUUGGUCGAGGUUAUAUGAGUAGCUGCACUCCUCUGCCAGAACCUCCAAACAAGCUCUCAAGAAUACACACAUAAGCAGUUAGUAUAGACAGUUGCUAUUACACUCAUAAGCUUGUUCUGUAAUCAUAAGGUUUUUAU
rfam:Pongo abelii chromosome 11.